GCUUGCUUCUCUUGAGAGCGGCGGACGGGUGAGUAAUGCCUAGGAAUCUGCCUGGUAGUGGGGGAUAACGUUCGGAAACGGACGCUAAUACCGCAUACGUCCUACGGGAGAAAGCAGGGGACCUUCGGGCCUUGCGCUAUCAGAUGAGCCUAGGUCGGAUUAGCUAGUUGGUGAGGUAAUGGCUCACCAAGGCGACGAUCCGUAACUGGUCUGAGAGGAUGAUCAGUCACACUGGAACUGAGACACGGUCCAGACUCCUACGGGAGGCAGCAGUGGGGAAUAUUGGACAAUGGGCGAAAGCCUGAUCCAGCCAUGCCGCGUGUGUGAAGAAGGUCUUCGGAUUGUAAAGCACUUUAAGUUGGGAGGAAGGGCAUUAACCUAAUACGUURSUGUUUUGACGUUACCGACAGAAUAAGCACCGGCUAACUCUGUGCCAGCAGCCGCGGUAAUACAGAGGGUGCAAGCGUUAAUCGGAAUUACUGGGCGUAAAGCGCGCGUAGGUGGUUUGUUAAGUUGGAUGUGAAAUCCCCGGGCUCAACCUGGGAACUGCAUUCAAAACUGACUGACUAGAGUAUGGUAGAGGGUGGUGGAAUUUCCUGUGUAGCGGUGAAAUGCGUAGAUAUAGGAAGGAACACCAGUG
rnacentral:rRNA from 1 species